AUGGUUCUGGUGGGGAUUGCAGCCCUGCUUUGGGCAAUUUGGAAAAGAAGGAAUGCAAUUGUCUUUGAAAACAAAAGGAUAAAUGAUCCUUUGUAUGUUGUCAAACUAUUAUGCAGGUGGUUGACUGACUGGUCCGUCCUACAGAUAAAGGAGUCGUCAAGAAAAACUUUGGAGCUGGGAGCAAGGGUGCUAGAACAGGCAGCAAAUGAGGUGUUCACUGCUAAGCAGGGAUGGAGGAUCAAUGUGGCAAGGCUGGAAUGA
rnacentral:rRNA from 1 species